rnacentral:rRNA from 1 species
GAUGAACGCUAGCUACAGGCUUAACACAUGCAAGUCGAGGGGAAACGGCAUUGAGUGCUUGCACUCUUUGGACGUCGACCGGCGCACGGGUGAGUAACGCGUAUCCAACCUUCCCAUUACUGUGGGAUAACCUGCCGAAAGGCAGACUAAUACCGCAUAGUCUUCGAUGACGGCAUCAGAUUUGAAGUAAAGAUUUAUCGGUAAUGGAUGGGGAUGCGUCUGAUUAGCUUGUUGGCGGGGUAACGGCCCACCAAGGCAACGAUCAGUAGGGGUUCUGAGAGGAAGGUCCCCCACAUUGGAACUGAGACACGGUCCAAACUCCUACGGGAGGCAGCAGUGAGGAAUAUUGGUCAAUGGACGGAAGUCUGAACCAGCCAAGUAGCGUGCAGGAUGACGGCCCUAUGGGUUGUAAACUGCUUUUGUAUGGGGAUAAAGUUAGGGACGUGUCCCUAUUUGCAGGUACCAUACGAAUAAGGACCGGCUAAUUCCGUGCCAGCAGCCGCGGUAAAACGGAAGGUCCGGGGUUUUCCGGAAAUUGUGGGUCUAAGGGAGCAAGCUUCGGGAAUUCACUGG